AACAAGAAGUUGAGUUGGUCUGAUAAGAGCUUGAGGCUUGGGUCCAAGCCAGAUACUCUUACCAAGGCCGCAGUGGUGAGUGUUACAAGCCUCUGUAGCCAGAGAGUUGCUGAAAAAUUAGACUAUUUUUUGGGUUGUAGCCAGCUGUGUGCCCAGUUCUUGCGAAGGGAAGAGCAGAUAGUUUCUUCCCUUUCUUUUUCCCCCUCCGGAGGCGCGGUGCCGCGGCUGGGCCAGCAGAGGGAGGUCACGGCUCGCCGGGCGCAGCGACGCCGCCGGCCCAGAAGCUGCAGUACAGCAGGGAGCGAAGAGCAGCCUCCAGCAGCGUCUCGGCAGCUAAUCGGCGGUAGAAGCCGCCCACCCGACUGGAGAGAUUCUAAGCAGAAUAUGAAGCUUUGCUUGUUGUACUUCUAAUAUCUCUAAAGAUUUUCUCAGAGAAAAUAAGAAAACAAACAAACAACAACAACAACAACAAAACGUUGUGGGGACAAAAUACAUCCAGAAUAUAUAUAUGUAUUUUACUACAUUUCAAAGAAACCCAUUUCAGAUAAAACAACAAGAUAAUGGUGAUCCUAACGAUACCGGUGUUGUGAUCAGGCUUACUUCUGACAAUUUGAUCUUUGCUGAAUUGCUGUGACUGGGACUUCUUUAAUUUUGAAACAUGUUCAAAAGGCCUGUACUGAUAAGUGCAGGAGAACUCAUUCUGUCACAACUAUUUAUUUAUUUAUUUAUUUGCUGUACCCCCUCCUACAUGUGUGAAUAUUCUCAAGUGGAGAUAAUUUUGACCUACUUGUUCAAGACAAAAGCAUAAGCGUGCAUUCACUGCAUAACUGAAAUCUUACACAAAUGUGAGUGAAACUUGCUUAAUUUUGUAUUUAUUUAAAUGUGUUUUUUUUAUUAUUAUUUUCCUUUAUUAUUUUUUUUUAAUUAACAGCAGGAUCUGUAUAGUGUGUAAAGACAUAGUCUUAGAUGAUUCUUGUCCCUUUCUUUUGUUACUACCACAGCAAAAUCACUGUUGUUAAAUCAGACCAGUCCCUAAAUGUGGAGCAGUAGGAUGGAGAUGAAGUGAUAAACAAUGGACUGCAGUGUUUUUGUUUUGUUUUGUUUUAGUGGAUUUCUUUUUUUAUAUACAUUCAGUUAAUGAUUUUCCCAUCAUAAUCAAUUUAGCUAAAAUCUUCUUUUUUAUUGUUUAGGCAAGUACUAAAGUAGACCUGUAUGCUACAGAGAGCAUAAAAUUCUUUUUUUUUCUAGGCCCAUCUAUCUAUAGGCUUCAUAUUCUUACUUCAGCUCCCAUCUUCCUUUUCUCAUCAUUCAAGUCCACAAUUAUUCUGCUUUCCAUAUGAAAGUUAUUAAUAGGUUUUGAUAACUUUUUGACAAAGAAGGGUGGGAACGAUUCUCCUUUGAUUGGAAUUAC
rnacentral:lncRNA from 1 species